rnacentral:rRNA from 1 species
ACACGACUACAUUAGAUACCCGGGUAGUCCUAGCCGUAAACGAUACUCGCUAGGUGUCGGCCACGGUGCGACCGUUGUCGGUGCCGUAGGGAAGCCGUGAAGCGAGCCACCUGGGAAGUACGGCCGCAAGGCUGAAACUUAAAGGAAUUGGCGGGGGAGCACAACAACGGGUGGAGCUUGCGGUUUAAUUGGAUUCAACGCCGGAAAUCUUACCGGGACCGACAGCAACAUGAAGGUCAAGCUGAAGACUUUGCCGGAUUAGCUG